ensembl:lncRNA
GCACAGAAUAACAAGCCCCCCACCCCAAUGCUUCAGUAUAAAAAGCCUGAGCACAGAGUCACAGUAACAAAGACUAUCAGUCUUCUCUCAACAGGACGAAGCAGGUUCAUCAUGGGUCUCCCAACUCACCGUCAGUGCAGCAUCGAGAUCCAGAACAAGACCACGACGUUCACCCUGUGCAACCCACGAUAGCAAGGAGCAGACGGCCGAGUUUAUUAAACUCCACCGAGACAGCGGUGACGCAGAUCUGAAGGCUCGACCGUCACAUUUCACAGCCUCGCACUUCCGGCCUUCUCGGUCUUUGAAGGACCCGGCCCACGUAGACCGCGAAGGAAAAUGGGAUCCUAUUGGUGGCUCAGCUGGUUAGUAAAGAGGGACAACUACUUACUUACAACGACUUUAUUGCACUAUAUAAUUUUCCAAUCAGUGUUCAGGAAUUCUCAAUGGUGCUUGGUGCCAUACCCUCAGGGACUUCAAUGUUAUAUACUGUAAAAACACUGACAGCUCAAUAUCUACCUCAGUCACUCUCCCUGAUCCAGCUGAGUCACCAAUAGGAAAAAUCUGCUUUUCACAGGAACUUGGUCACAGCAAUAAGAGAAUACGUAGUUUAUGCCAAGAAGAUAUCGUCUCUCUCCCAUAUAUAAUAUCUUAUUGGAACCGAUAUGUUCCAGAUAUCAAGUGGAAGACAGUCUGGAUGGUCCCCCAUAAAUAUUUGAUUGUAAAUAAGGUGAAAGAAGUCUCUUUUAAAAUUCUACAUAAAUGUUAUCCAGCCAGUCACUACAUGGUAAAAUUUAAAAGGGACAUAAAUACUAAUUGUACUUUCUGUGGGGAUCAUCCAGAAACUGUGACUGUGGCAGACUGGCGACCUGUCCAGGUGUGCCCCACCUCUUGCCCUAUGAUAGCUCAGAUAGGCUCCC